rnacentral:lncRNA from 1 species
CUGCCUUUUCUUCUUCUUUUAGAUGAGUUUUAAUUAGGUAUCUCAAUUUCUAGUAUAUGAAAUUAAAGGAAUUUAAUGCAUGGAUUCGGAUUGGCACAAAUUUAUUUCGAUUUGUAUUUUAGAGUAUUGUUUCGAUAUACGAAUAUUUGUUCGGAAACUAAGGAAUCCCUUUGAUUACAUCUUCCUCAGGAAAUAAUUCUCACAACACUAAAAAGAGGUGAAUGUGGCCUGAAGAGAGACAUGUAAAAGCAAGUUUAAU